UUCAAAGUCACAAAAUAAUCGAUUGUGAACUUAUGACAAUCGAUUGUGUUGAGGCAGUGUCUUCCAGACUUUUUCAAAAUUAUUAAAUAAUCGAUUCUGAAUAUAAAACAAUCGAUUGGCAAGAGGAGUGUCUAAAAUGAUUUUCAAAAUCUGAUAAAUAAUCGAUUGUUAACAUUGUACAAUCGACUGUGAAGCUGACCGUUGUCGUAAAAUUUUCAAAUACCGUCAGGUAAUCGAUUGUUGAUUUUGUACAAUCGAUUGUUGAUAUUGAAAUCCGAAAAAGAUUUUUUGAACGCUGCUGAAUAAUCGAUUAUUGAUUUGGUAUAAUCGAUUGUUUUACGUAAAAUCUGGAAAUGAUUUUUUGAACGUUGCCAAU
rnacentral:lncRNA from 1 species